UGGAACCCUCUUUCUCACUCAUCUCACAAUCUGCCGCACCACACUGAAAAUCCGGCGAGGCUGUGCCGGUCAUCUCCCUUCGCCGCUUGCUCUUUGUCCACCAUCAUCUCAGAAAACACCAAUCGAUGCCAAAAAGGGGCGAGCCCUACACCUGCCCCAAGAAAUCAGCCACCGCCGCCGCCGCCGUCUUGCAUUCCAGUGAGGCCGGCGCCGCUCUUUGGCCUGUGCCGUAAAUCUCCCUUCACAAAUUGCGGCUGAGCCCUAAAUCUCCUCUCAUUUUCUCUCGCUCUGACUUUUCGGGGAGUGCCAAAUCGAGCCCUAGCUUUAGUUUAUCAAAAUCGCUGCUGCCGCUGCUGGAUUUCCGAUGAGCCGACGUUGCCGCUAAUGCUCUCAAUCUCACAAUUCGUGCCCUGGAUCUUCAAAAUGUUACACCUCUGGGAUCUCCGCCGCCAUUAGCUCAGGCGAGCCUGGCUGUUGUCGCCUCUGAAAUUGGUGAGGCCAUCACCGCUCCCUGCUCUCAUCCACACGUUUGUGCAGACACGACGAAGGCAAGGGUCGAGCCCUGACCUCUCGGCUCUGGCGAAAUCGACGCUCUGGUUCGACGCUGCCCGGGUUUGUUCGAUGUGUCGUCGUGCCGUCGGCUUUGGCUCCGCGAAGCGCCCCUCUUCUUCUCCUUCGCAGUCAGCCAUCGUCAAAGUUUUCUCCCCCACUCAAGAAAGAAACGGGUACAAUAAAAAGCCCCUCCCUCUAAAAUGCUAAGUUCAGUCAUACUAUGCAAAUCGGCUUUCUUGAGCAAGGGAACUAUGAAAUACUAGCAUUCUAUUUCUAUAACAUAUCAUAGCUCAUUAUAUAUCACAGAAACAAAUGGUUUGCUAUAUUUGCUAUGUCCAUUUAUGCAUAUGUAGGUUCUCUACCAUUCUGUAUUUCUAAUUGAACCGAAGCAUGCGUAUGCUGGUAUUAAUCAUGUAACAUGAACAAGCAUAUGAGAUAGUGAAUACCUUGAUUGUAUUGUUCUUUUGAUUGGAUGGCUGUUGUGUUGCUAUCGAUUUCAGUGGAUAAAGAGCUCUUAGAAGAAUUCCAGGCAACAAUUCAUCAAACUUCUCUCUUCUCCAACUGUUGGGUGAAGGAGGAAAGAAAAUACUCCCUCCGUCCCGGCCAAGACGCAAUAUUUGCUUUUCGACACGAGAUUUAAGGAAUUGUAGAUUAAUGUUUUAAGUGUGUAAUAAUAAAGUAAUAAAGUAGGAGAGAGAAAGUAAUAAAGUGAUAAAGUAAGAAAGAGAAGGUAAUAAAGUGAUAAAGUAGGAGAGAGAAUGUAAUAAAGAAAUACUUAAUUAGGAUUAAUUAAGUGUUUAAAACUCCUUAUUUUUGCCAAAG
rnacentral:lncRNA from 1 species